AAUUUGUAGUAACAAUUUUUUCACUCCUGCCCUGUUUUAUCUCCUUUUUCUGGAAGGAAAACAAUUGAGGAGGGGUGUCAAGGUCCAUCCAGAGCUCCUGUUUUCCCCAGUUGCCUUAGAAUCAGAGUGGAGGAGGCAGCUGAAACAGUCACCUGUAAAAACAGGUGCUGUGAAAAAGAAUAAGCAGCUCUGCAGAUGAUGAAUAAUCUAAUGAAGUCAGGAAAAGCUGCAUAAUUAAGCAAGGUUGAGGUAAAACCACAGCUAUUUUGGAAGAGUUCUAACUUUAACAAG
rnacentral:lncRNA from 1 species